rnacentral:rRNA from 1 species
UACGGAGGGUGCGAGCGUUAAUCGGAAUUACUGGCGUAAGCGCACGCAGGCGGUUUGUUAAGCAAGAUGUGAAAGCCCCGGGCUCAACCUGGGAACUGCAUUUUGAACUGGCAGACUAGAGUCUUGGAGAGGGGGUGGAAUUCCAGGUGUAGCGGUGAAAUGCGUAGAGAUCUGGAGGAACAUCAGUGGCGAAGGCGGCCCCUGGCCAAAGCACUGACGCUCAUGUGCGAAAGUGUGGGUAGCGAACAGGAUUAGAUACCCGCGUAGUCC